rnacentral:lncRNA from 1 species
AUGAGCAGUAGACGGAAUUCUUCCCUUCAAAUCUUGAAUCUUCUUCUUCUUCACGUCUCUUAAUUUUUUCUGUAGAGUGAGCAAGAAACUGGAAUUUGUUUCCCUAUCAACACCAAGAAUUUGAUCGACAAUGUGGUUUUCAAUGACAUCUUCAGCCGCAUGAGCUGCACAUGCCAUUUGCCUCUCCACAUCUGCUCCUUCUCCACUA